rnacentral:rRNA from 1 species
UAAUUGAAGAGUUUGAUCAUGGCUCAGAUUGAACGCUGGCGGCAGGCCUAACACAUGCAAGUCGAGCGGCAGCACAGAGGAACUUGUUCCUUGGGUGGCGAGCGGCGGACGGGUGAGUAAUGCCUGGGAAAUUGCCCGGUAGAGGGGGAUAACCAUUGGAAACGAUGGCUAAUACCGCAUAACCUCGUAAGAGCAAAGCAGGGGA